GAACAAAUUGGAAUUGGCAAAAAUGGAGAGCGAGCCUGUGGGAUGAUAGCAGCCAAGGUUCACAUGAUUACUCAGAGCUGCAGGAGAGUGGAGAGGCAAGAGAGGAUGUAUCUGUACAACGAAAUGGUCCAAAUCAGGAGACUUUGGAUGAUUCUAGAAAACACCGGGCCUUGGUGAUGUUUUCAGAUCUUUAUUAUAGUGGGCUGACUGAAUGAAAUGAUGAAUUUUGUUCUGUUGUGCUCUUAUCAGUCAUAAUCCAGCCUCAAUUAUAGAAGACAAGGGGAGGAACUGGCCAGGAAAUACGUACACACAUGCAGCCUGCUCUCCACAAACAAAACCACUCUCUAAGCCUCAGUUUCUCUACCCCUACCUACUGGUAACCCUUUCCUGAAACAAAAAGGGACAGCUCACUGCUUACUUAUGUCAUACUGUUUUCAGUGACUUCUAAUUAAUCAGAUCAUUUUCUACUUUUGUACAAAGGAUAAUUUGCUACAAUAAAAGUGAAUAUAAAUCAGUAGGUCUUAUCAUACAAUACCCAAUUUGGACCAAUUCUUCUGAAAGUAGAGAGAUUUUAUUAUUUUUAAAAUUUGGUUUUGGAAUACUGGGAACUGAAACUAGGAUCUCAUACAGCAUGUGAUGAGUGCUCUACCACUGAACAACUUUCCCGGCCUCUGACAAGGAGCUUUUCAAUGGGGUGAUCAAGGAUAUCAAGGAAGGCAGUUUACUUACAGACAGAUGAGAACAUGUGAAGUGCCUGUCUCACCAAGCAACCAAUGCAGUCAGUGCUUAAUACAAGGGUUUAUUUUUCCUUUAAGCAUGUGUGUGCGCACACACAUACACACCCACACACACUCACCACAAGCAGGUGCACAUAUAUUCUAACAUUCAGGAUUUUAGGAUCUGCACAUGGAUCCUGUGUUAUGUAUUCCUAUGAUGUGUGACUCUGAGCAAUGUGACAGACAAGGACUUUUAUUAUGAAUUCUUCAGAGGAGAAAACCGAGAUUUAGAAAGGAAACAUAACUUGGGAAAUUACUUCUUAGGAUUCAAACUCAGAUCUGCCUAACUCCGUUAAUCACUAUGUGUGACUGCUUCUUAGGCCGUGCAGAUAACUCAUGCCAUCUAUGUGAGUGUGUAGUUACAUAGUGUUGUGUUCUACUCAACAGACUUAAACACAUAAAUACUGAACAAUAGUGACUUAUUCUUCUGCCCAGUUUCUGUGGGCUAGAGAAUUAGUAGAGUCCUUUUAAAAGUGUGUGUGUGUGUGUGUGUGUGUGUGUGUGUGUGUGUGUGUGUGUGUGUGUGUAAGCCAGGAGAAAACAGCAGAUCCUCUGGUGCUGAUAUCACAGGCCAUUGUGUUGUGGGUCACCUGACAUGAAGGUUAAGAACUGAGUUUGAGUCCUCUGAAAGAGCAGCAAGUGUCUUAACUAUGGAGUUAUCUCCCAGUUCCCAAUUCAGCUAUAUCUUAACAAGUCAGUUCCGACUUAGGAUCUCCUAUUCAGUUGCUUUAGGAUGUUGGCUAAAACUAUAGUUCUCUGAAGGCAUGGUUUAUGAAGGAAGAUAACCUAGGAAGCACGCUUGUUUAUAUGUUUAGCAACUUGGUACCAGUCCAAACUGAAUGUUUCUGCUGCUCUAGGUGGCUUAUCCCAGAAACUCUUGAGCACGGUGUCUGGUGCUCUUCAGAAUGAGUAACAUGAAGGUUGAAUCAGCAAUAGCUUUAUGAACUAGCCUCAGACAUGACAUACUCUUGCCUUGCCUCACUGUGUCAAAUAUCCAACUCUGAUUUGAUUGGUAAAAAUCUAUGUAUGUGUGAUAAUAGUAGGAGACACAAUCAUUCGGGAAGUUUUCUAGAUUGGUAACUCUCAAACCUGUCCUUAUUCUAUUUUUAUAAACUCUUGGAGCCAAGACUCCAGUUUUCCACUCUUGCUACAUUUUUUCAUUUAUUUUUUCCUCCUCAGAAACUAUUGCCUGCCUCCCUUUCAAGCCUGGAAUACGGUGACUGUGUAGGUAAUUGUGAUUUUCAAUAUGACAAGAUGGAGAAUUGCAUAGUCCAACUGCCAUGUACAUCUGUGAAGAAAUUUAUAAACUACUUUUAUUGUGGUGAAAUAGCCAACCCUAAAUAUGGGUGACAUCAGACCAUGGAGUGGGUUUUGGGACAAAAAAAAAGGGAGGAAAAAAUGACCUGUAUCCUCAAACUGUGAGCCAAAUAAAACCACCCUGAAGUUACUUUUUCCAGGUACCCUGUCAUUCCUGGAUGAAACCGCGAACCUCUACAUCUCCCUCAGUCCUUCUGUGGUUAUUUCCAAGGCAAUGGCCAAAUAACUCCUCUCGAGUUAUAGCACUCCGCUGCUCUGUGGACAUCCUAUGCACCAUCCUACUUCAGGGACACUACACUUGAUCCAUCUUCCUGGAAGACUCUGAGCUCAGAUGUCCACUUCUUUUCAUGUCUUAUUCAGCUGUCACUUUCUCAAGGAGACCUGACCUGGCUGGCCUUCCACAAUAUUGAUACCUCCUUCAGCUCCUACUCUGUAGUUUAUUUAUUUUCCCCUUAGCCUUUAUCUCCAUACUACAUAAUCACAUGUAUAUAAUUAUACUUAUUUUGUUUCCCUUAGUCCCAUUCCUAAUAUAACGUAAGCUCUAAUCAAGCAAGAAUUUCUAUAUCCUACAUGGAUGUAACCAAUGCCUGGAUCCUCAGUGCCAGGUGAUCGAUAAAAAAUUGUAAUUGACAGAAUACUGUAUUUACAGAUGUGUAGCUGUAUUCAUCUCUGCCUAUUUAAUACAUUUUCCAUAUCUUUUCGUAUAGCCCUUUUGAGGACUUAAGUAUGAGGCCAAGAAAACGAGAGCAGGUUCACUUUGAGCUCAGGAUGUUUGCCCUCCAACUUCCCACUUCCUGUGUGGCUCAGGAAUGCUCUUUACUCAUUGCUCUACAGUCUUCUGGAUGAUACCAGAAACACCCCGAUCGUGGGGCACACAGUGGCUGAGCAUUCUAGUGGCAUGAGGUUGAAAAUGGGUGAAUCUGGAGUCAUCGAGAUGCCUUAUCAUAUAAAGUGUCUCAUGGCCAAGACUGAUGAGAUCCAACCCCAUAAGCCAUGGUAGAAAAAGAGAAGUCAAUCUUGCAAGUCGUCCUCUGCUCCGUAAACAUGUACCAUGCACCUCCUCAUAAACAAACACAUAAUGGUGUAAGAAAAAGAAGCGAGGCUUUCUGUAUAAAAGUGAAAUGAAACUUAGAAAUAAGAAGACAAUUCUGAAAUUGUUAUCUGACUUGAUGAAAGAACAUUUACCCGGAUAUGUAGAAAAUAUUAAGAAUUCCUUUUAUAGUGAAAACUCCCUGUCUCCAACUUUUAUCCUAUCAAGGAAAAAGAAUAUAUGUAGGCAUCAAAACAUGUAGUCUGUUAAAAUGCAUAAUACUGUGCUGUCAGCAUGCACUCUGCGCCCUCGGUACCUCAUUCUGACGAGUAUGGUCAGGUUGUAUCUUUCAAGCAGAAUUCAUUUUUGAAAUUCCUAUGAUGUUACUGGAAGUUGUUCACUACUUUCUUCUUCAAAUGGCAUCCGUGUCUCCUGAGAAAGAUUUCUGAAAGCCUUUAUUUGACUCUUGACAGCUGUGUGUUCUUCUAGACGGCUGGAAGGGACUCUAUCUUGUCUAAAUGUGUGUGUGAAAUUACCCAAUCCGUGCCUUCGUCUCUGCAGCAUAACUAGUGUGGUACCAAGAUGUUUCCCUAAUAUCUCUACCACAACUUCCAAAUCGUGUUGACUGAAAGCAUUAAAAGGACAAAUUGCCAUGACAGAUUGCGCUUUGUUUUCUACAAAUCCACGGGAUGAAGUGCUCAUCUUCUCUGAACAUGUUGAAAGACUUUUCUGCUGCUCUGCACCCUUGGCCUGUGUUCUUGUCCCAUCCUCUCUCCAUGCGGGAUGCGAAGUGCCUCCGUCUAGCCCCACAGCCAGACCUUGCUCAUUCACUUCCGUUCUUGCUCUAGCAUAGGUUUAAAAUCUAGGCUUGACCUGAUGUGGGCUCUUGACAUCUGCUGAGACCAAAUGGCCUGAUUCCACAACCCCUUCCUCUCCAGCUAAGUCCCUGGGGGGGCAGAUUCAAUUCCAUACCAGGCUCAGAUGUAGCCAAACGAGCCAGUCAGCUCCUCCUACGAAAACCUGGGCACCUCACUCUCUUGGCACUCCAACAAAGCUUCUCAUAGUUUCACGUUGUUCACUCCAUUCAGGAAAGUGGUUCCCUUGGGACAUCAUGUCACAUUGGUGCCUUUCCAAAUGGGCUGUGAAGAAAUGAUCCAUCCAUCAUCGUCAGCUGCAAUAUGCGUAGCCGUUCUCAUAGGCAUCACCGAUAAGAGCCCAGUAAAUCCUGAAGCCGUUUUCCUCCCUCUGUCAAGGAAGAGUGAACUACAUCCUUCUUGGUUACCCUCAUGGCGUAUUCUGUUCUCAAACCCAGGCCACCAGUUAUGAGAACCCAGAGACUGCUUGAAAAGAGGAAUCAUUUCUCACGUAGUUUUAUGCUUCUGGUUCUGAAAACAGAUCCUGGUAUCCAGCAGGUACUAAAUGUUCCUCUUGAAUGGAUGCAUUUAAAAAUCAGGGAUCUCUGAAGACACUUGGGUGCGAAACCAUCUCUUUAGUUGAGGUGCACUGACUUCGGUUAGAGUUCAGAUAGCACACAUCCUGAUUUAGAUUUCUUAGCUUUGGUUUAUAUCAACCUGCAGACCGCCCUCCAUUUAGAAUUAAAUUAUCUUUAAAAGAGAGUGUAAGUGCCUUGUUUGAAAAUCUCUUCUGUUUGCCUGGUGAUUUAAUUUUCAGCCCAGAUGUGACCUGGCAUCCCUGGUGGUUGGUGUUUGCUUUUCAUUUGCUGGAUAUUGUUCACAGGGUUCUGGGAUGUGGCAGAAGGCUGUCCAGUGAAAGACCCGCACAGUACACAUUGGUGACUUUUGAAUCACAGACCUUGCCUCUCAUCCUGUUGUAAUAACUCCACUUCAAAAAGAAAGGCGGGUAAUCUGUUGUGCAAAAUGCCUUGCUUUGGUUUUUAAACAUUUUGCUUUUGAUAUACACCCAAACGCCACACAUUUUCUCCCUUAAUUUUUAAACCCACGUACACUUCAAGGGAAAUUGAAUCCAUAUGUUUCUGAUUCAUUUACACACAGCUCAUCAAAAUGUUGUUUUAAAAGAGCUAAACUCAAAUCCCUCAGGGGCUGAGUGGGUUUGAGACUUGGCUGAAGGCUCUUUCCUAUAGCUGGCAAUGGGCACAGCAGGUAUGAAAUAGGAGCCCGCCUACCUCCCAGGAGCUGAAUAGCAUCCUUCUUAGAGGAUCAGCUCGCACCUCUGGCUUCUCACCUUGCAGUCAGCCUUCCUUUCCACAACUGCUGUGGCCUACAUUUGAUUAGCUCAGAAAACCAAAGGGACAGAAACGCCAGGUUGUUCCAGCCAAAUUGGAACGAUCAAGCUAUUUAUGUAUGUCAUUCUGCCUCACGGCAGACUAAUAAAAUCCACCCAGCUGGCAGGGGCCUGAAAAACCAUGUUCUCUGCUUUGAAUGGACCUGGAAAGUCCACGGCAGGCAGGAAAGCUGCUGCAGGAUGAGUGCAAGAAAUAAUACCCAGCCAAGGACGGGGCUGUGUCCCUACAGGUGAUCCUCGCUGAUGCUCCGCAACUCUAUCAGUAACUUUGACAACGUUUGACCCACCAGGCAAGCUUUGCAGUCUCAACCUCAACUAAAUUCUUGACUUUGCACUGUGCCUGAGACCAUGAACCAUCAAAUUGGUCUAUUGUGCUACUGGGUCCCGGUAACCCUCGAAAGGGGCAUGGCCACUGGGAAGACAGUGUUCAGAACUUCUGCCCUCUGUGCACAGUCUUAAUGACUGAGAGACGGGUUACACAAGUUCCGUUACAGUCACAGUAUCCUGAUCUCUUGUUUUGGAUCAUAGUGUUCUGUUGCACAUAGAGACGGGAAUACAAGGUUUUUCUCUAUACCGUGAAAAGGGUGGUUAAGUGGCUGUGGUACACCAAGGUGAAAAGAAAUGACUGAGCCCCAAGGGAACCAGGACCUCUUUUCCUGUUGGCAGGGCAACUCCUCACCCAGCUGUUCUAGAUGACACUGGUAUAGGAUGGGUGAAUGUUGCAAAUGACCAUUAGAUUGAAACCGAUGAUGAGAACUGUUUUCAAAUGCUGUGGGCUCAUUAGCAUCAAGUAAUUUGUUGGUUGGAGCCAAGAAGGCAUCAGAAGCACAGCUAAAUUCUGCCUCUUCCCAGGGGCAAAGAAGCGAGCUUAAUUAGCCCGAAGGCGUCUACGGUCUCUUCCAAAAUGAAACAAGGGGACCCUCCUGGGUUUUCAGGACAUGUGUUUCUUUGCAGAAAAAACAUAUGGACUCAAUAUUAUUGAAAACAUAUGAAGUUCUUUCUCCUCUGCUAAAACUUUCUCUGCAUCAACUUUCAUUCCCUUUUCUAAAAUCCACAUGACAUGUUCUACUGAGCCUGACCCUAAAACAACACUGUGUGAAUGCUUUACGUUUUAUUAUUGGUUUAUUUUCCUCUCAUUCAUCCUAUAAAAACCAGAACUAUUUGCGGCUCUGAGAUAGUCAUUUGUGUGA
rnacentral:sRNA from 1 species